UACGUAGGGGGCGAGCGUUGUCCGGAUUCAUUGGGCGUAAAGCGCGCGUAGGCGGCCACGCAAGUCGGGUGUGAAAUCCCGGAGCUCAACUCCGGAACUGCACUCGAAACUGCGCGGCUUGAGGUAGGUAGGGGAGAUCGGAAUUCCUGGUGUAGCGGUGGAAUGCGCAGAUAUCAGGAGGAACACCGGUGGCGAAGGCGGAUCUCUGGGCCGUAACUGACGCUGAGGAGCGAAAGCAUGGGGAGCGAACAGG
rnacentral:rRNA from 1 species